AUGUAGGUAUGAUUACAACAUGACUAAAGUGUUAACUGCUGGUCCUCCUGCAGAGCACUUGAUACAUAACCAUCUCUGGACAGUUCUACGUCACAGUAAGAGAGACAGGCUUGGCUUCAAGAUU
rnacentral:snoRNA from 1 species